rnacentral:lncRNA from 1 species
GUCACCAACCACGACGGGCUUCCUCCCAGCGAGUGGAGCUCAGGGGUAAUCGGAGCUGUUUGGAGGGCCGGAUUCCUGACCAGCACUGAGUCGGAACAGCCGUGUGCCAGCAGCACGGCCAACAGGCGAUGCUGAGUUUGGGCUAAGAGCUCUUAACCCCAUGUUGACAUUACCAACCCGAUAGAGGGGAUGGCCUCAUGCUGGGCCCAGCGCUUGGAGUGCUGCAGAACUGCAGGCAGGAUACAAACAUCCGCAUCAGGAAUAACUGUUAGGAUCCCAGCGGUGUGUCCCACACUGAGCAGACGGCUCCGAGACUGCUGCCACCUCCAUGGGAACUGCGGGAGCCCCUGGGGCUCAGUCUGAGGUCUCGUGCUCUGAAAUGAGGGCUGUGCUGUGAGCACGUAUCUCACAGGUGAGCUGUGAGCAGCACUGAAAUAGAGUAGAGUGAAGAGCUGUAAGGUAGCUUGAAGACUGACGUUAAUUACGCAGUAAUUUUCUAGCUGUGAUCCAUGACGGACCUGUUGCUGAUCCCCAGACAGAUGGCGAGUCACACAGGAUGGGCUUCUCUUCAUUUCCAUCUGCUAUAUUUCAUUAAGGCAGCUAAAAAUAAAAAUAUCCUGAAUGUUAUUUUUCCAUGCAAGCUACUGCUACAGCAAUGUGAUACGGCAGUGACUGGAGCUUCCGAGCGACAAGGAAUUCUGAACUGAUUUGUGAUCCUUGGUGUGAAAAGAGACCGCGACCCCCUGCACCAGCCUCAGUGUGAGCGCUGCGCUUCCCUGCGUGCGCUGCAGAAGAGUCUGUUCACAACAAUUCUGUGCUAGAAGGGGAGCACAGGCGUGGCUGUCUCCUCUGAGCGGAAGUUCCCAUUUCUGGGCUCUAACUAUUGCAGAUGGUGCCAUGAAAUGGUGGUGCAGUCACAGAGGUCUCCAUGCAGUGGGAACACGUCCCCAAACCGCUGCUCUGAGCUUUCAGCUGGCGCAGUGCACAGAGCCCUCUUACAGCUUUGUUUGGGGCAUUGUUGGGAUUUGGUUUUAUGGAUUUUUCAGCUCUACUGCGUCUUUGCACAGUGAAGCCGUGCUCUUGCACACACAGCUCUACUAAUCUGUGUUAGUGCCCGGACCUGGCUGAUGCUUGGGCUUCAGAACCGAGGAUGGAGUCUGGCACUGAGAUUUUUAGGCCCAGGCUAUUUUUGUUCCUGGCUCCACUGGCCAUUGCUAUAGAUCUGAAUGCUGAGCGUGGACGUGCGCAAGAGAAGAGCUCUAUUAUUUCACCCUACUUCGAAAAGCCAGAAGGAAGCUUUCAGGCAGCACAGCUCGCAGCACCACCAAUGCUCCGUCUCAGUGGCAGUGCCUGCAGCGCCGCUCGAGGACCUUUGUUCCGACCCCUCCUUUCUUCGUCGCUCCAUGCUUCGAAAAACAAACUGUUUCCUCGCCCUCCUGGCAGUGCUCCCAUGAGGAAAUUCCUGCUCUGCAGCCACACCAUCCCUCCUUCAGUCGGGUCACGUUGCUUCCCCAUUCGCCCGGCCCAGCCCUCACCCCAGGAGAACCUUUGGCUCCGUUCUUGCGCCUGUUCUUCCUCCUCCGUUUAUUGGAGUUCCACCCUAAGCUCACACUGACUCGGGCCCCAGUUUAGCAAGGAAUUUUAUCAUGUGCUCCACGUAACUGGCUUAGACCUUCCAUCUGUUUUUAGCUUAUCAGAGCUGCGGGGGGAGCCGCCCGGUUCCGCACCCCCGGCUCUGUGUGCGUUGGCGUUUCUGAGCGAAGAGUUCACUUGCCUAAAGUGGAGCAGGAGCUCAGAUAAGGAGCGCUGCUGAGCUGGGCUCCAUCCAGCAUGGUGGCACGUCUCCCCAAAGCUCGUGGUGCUCCGCAGCUCUGACACGUUCCAGGUUGUUGGGUGCUCCUCCCACAGCUCACCGCUGGCAUAUAGCUGGGUGCUCUGCGCUUUGCUGCACGUACUGGGAAUCCUGAGAGAGGAGUAUAGGAUUAAAUCUUAGUCUUGGGAGCAGAGAAUGAAGCCAAAGUGGGCAAAAAGUGAUGAGCCCAGAAGUAUUGGACUCAGUGUUUCAUUCCCAGUGGAGUCGGACGCAGCAGAGUCUGAUUUUGCUGCUGGCACCAUUGUGCCAAUACACGGUGUGAUGGCAACGGCUACAGGAGCAGAAGGAUGCCUGGACUGCACGCAGCCGCUUAUAACUUCUGCCUUCAAAGGUUGCCAUAUUUAAUUCACAUCAUGUAAAAAUUCCAUUGGCGAAGGGUGGGGAAAACUGAACGUUGAAUGAGGACUUCUGUUCUCCCGCAGAGCUGCACUGGAGGAGCCGGGCUGUGGCAGUCGGAUUUCUGCUAUAGGUUAUCACAGAAUCACGGAACCAUUAAGGUCCCACCGCCAUACUGAGGGUACAUCACCAUCACAUGUGGACGAGUCCCAUGGAGGCAGUCCUAACAGAGAUGUCACAAUCCACACUACGAUUCAAACCCGAGCAGAUGCAAAAAAGGCAGCAGUUCGGUGAAGUCACUGCGGCGUAUUUCGGAAGAUGUGCCAGAUGGCUGCCAGAGUCUUUUAAACCCUGACUUCUCUUCUGAGCCAGCCAUAUUAUCAUCCAUCAGACGGUCUCUUUGGGCUGACAUUGCAGUGCGUGUCUGUCUCUUUUAGGUUUGCCUUGCUCCUGUUUAUUUCUAGCUGAUUUAUUUAUAUCUGGAACCGAUACAAGUGGCACCAUUUCUUUGUUUCAUUAAAAGAUUCCUUGAUCUAAAUUUUAAA